UAAGGAGUUAGUUAAUCCACAUAAUACUGAAUUGUCAA
rnacentral:tRNA from 1 species